GUUACGGUGGCAGAGCUUGGUCUAAAUGCACAAGGCCUAAGCCCUUGUGACAGAGGUUCAAAUCCUCUCCCUAACU
rnacentral:tRNA from 1 species